ensembl:lncRNA
CAGCCACAGCAACGCAGGAUCCGAGCCAUGUCUACAAUCUACACCACAGCUCAAUGCAACCCCAGAUCCUGAACCUGCUGAGCGAGGCCAGGGAUUGAACUUGCAUCCUGAUGGGUACUACUUGGGUUUGUUACCGCCCAUCCACAAUGGCAACUCCUGCAGUCAGAUUCUUAACCCACUGUGCCACAGCAGGAACUACUAGAAAAUUUUAAAGUACAUAUGUCUCUGAGAAUAUACUAAAAACCAGUGGAUUGAACACUUUAAAUAAGUGAAUCACAUCAGUGAAUCACAUCGCAAUAAAGCUGGGUUUCUUAAUACGUGCACAGCUCAUACUGCAUUUCUAUGAAGUACCGUGAGUCAGUUAUAGUAAUAAUGAGAAAGGAAAAAGAGAAUCACAUUCAUCUCCUGUUUGUAUGAUGCCUUUGUGAUAGACCUGUUUACCAAACAAGGCAAGUAAAAUUCUAAGGCCAGUAAAAAAGAGAAUCAUCAUUACUGAAGAAAUUAAUCUCACUAAUCACAACUGAGAGCUGCCACAGUUAUCAGAAAAUAUUCCAUGUGAGGACGGAAAAGACAAAGAAAAUACAGAAACAAAAAAAUAAAUACAUUGGCGCUCCCGCUGUGGUGCGAUGGGAUCUACCGUGUCUCUGCAGCACCAGAACACAGGUUUGAUUCCUGGCCGGGCACAGAGGGUUAAAAAGGAUCCAGUGAUGCCAUAGCUGUGGCACAGGUCACAACUGCAGCUUGGAGCUGAUCCCUGGCCCAGGAACUGCAUGUGCUGCAGGGCAGCCAAAAAAGAAAGAAAAAAAAAAAAAAAAAAUAAAAAAAGAGGGAGUUCCCGUCAUGGCUCAGUGGUUAAUGAAUCCAACCAGGAGCCACAAGGUUGCGGGUUCGAUCCCUGGCCUUGCUCAGUCAGUUAAGGCUCCGGCGUUGCCAUGAGCUGUGGUGUAGGUCCCAGAGGCGGCUUGGAUCCUGAGUUGCUGUGGCUCUGACGUAGGCCGGCGGCUACAGCUCCGAUUCGACCCCUAGCCUGGGAAUCUCCAUAUGCUGCAGGUGCAGCCCUAGAAAAGACCAAAAAAAAAAAAAAAAGAUUUAAAACAUUCUUUAAAGGCUCUCCUACACAAUUAUAAAACCUACAGGAAAAAAGUUCACCUCACUUCAUCAGGAGGUCACCUGCCAGGGGAAGCUGACAGCCCCCAGACCAGAAACAUCAUACACAAAGACUCAGGAGCAACAUCAACAGAGAAGAGAAGGUCACAGAGAAGCCCCAUCAGACUUGUUCGAGUAUCUGCGCCGUGUGCUCCGAGGUGAAGGCAGCUGUGAAGACCAGGAGGGUCCGGGAGAAGCUCUGGCAGUUUACCACACACUCACGAGUAAGAAGGCAAGUCAUAGGUGCAUUCUGAUCAUUUGAAGACCUGAUGUUUUGCUUUUGCUUUGGUUUGGCCCUGCCUCUAGCAUACGGAAGUUCCGGGGCCAGGGAGCAAACCUGAGCCACAGCAGCGACCCAGGCCGCAGGAGUGACAACGCUGGAUUCUUAACCCGCUGUGCCCCACGGCAACUCCCUGAAGCAUUGAUGUGACUAAGGCAGGGUCCCUUGAUGUCUAUGCUGUUAGAGAAAUCAGUCACACUCUCAUAAACAGGCCUGUUGAAAGCCAGCUCAGUUGAAAAUAAACGGCAACCAACACAAACUUACUUUACUGUCAUGUGUAUCCUCCAGAGAAGGCAAAAGAAACAGUGGCUGACUCAGAUGGGGAAUUCUCUGGAGUCAUAACUUAGCAAAUCACUUGUGCCCUUUACACAGUAAGAACCUCACAAAAUGCUGCAUCAGUAAUUGCAAUUUCGUAAGUGGCAUAUCAACGCUGGCUGACAACUUCCUUUGUCAUUUAUUAAUGGCGGAGAGUUGGCUCUGAUGGGAACGGUCUUCGCUGAGCGCCAGGAAGAGCCUCUGCAGAAAGCCCGCAGACGAGAACAGAGAACUCAAUGUCCAGCCCAAUGUGCGAAGGGAAAGCAGUUUAGGGGAAAAAAAAAAAAUCCAUAACUUUCAGCUGGGAAGGAGGAAAAAAGUCACUCAUGGUUGAAGUAACAGGGCCACCUGUCGCGGAGGCAAAGGCGGGGGCGCGGGGCUGGAGGGAGCAUGGUGGCGAGGCAGGGUGGCCUGGAUGGGGAGGCAAGUGGCCUGGAUAGGGAGGCAGGGAGGAGAGCAGGCUGGAGCGGGAGGGGCUGCCUCCCCUCAAGGCCCUGCGGAGUCACCCCGGGGAAUCGCAGGGCGCGCUGGCGCCCCAACUGCACGCGGAUUCGCUGACGGGCCUGCGAGCAUGGUACACAGUCUUCUCGAGGACACACUCCCUGCCACAGUGCUUGUCACCCUCUACUGAACCAUGGGCUUCGUGACAGCAGGUACAGGACAUCCACUGCAUGGAGUUUGGCACGUGGUUAGUUUUCAAUAAACACCAGCCCAAAAAACUCACUGGAGGCCACUCCACGUGUGCGACAUGGCACCUGCAGCAUCGUGUUGUUUGUUCCUGUACACGAGAUGACACUCAGGGGCUGAACUGUGCCUCCACCCCCAAUUCAUAUGUUGAAGCCCCACCUCCAAUGCAACAGUUUGUCGACAAGGCCUUUGGGGUAGUAAUUAAGGUUAAAUGAGGUAAUAAAGGGGGGCCCUAAUCCAACAAGAGUAAGAGACACCAGGAGUUCCCAUGGCAGCUCAGCGGUUAGCGAACCCGACUAGUAUCCAAGAGGACACAGGUUCGAUCCCUGGCCUCGCUCAGUGGGUUAAGGGUCCGGUGUUGCCCUGAGCUGUGGUGUAGGUCACAGAUGAGGCUCAGAUCCUACACUGCUGUGGCUGUGGUGUAGGCCAGCGGCUACAGCUCCAAUUCCACCCCUAGUCUGGGAACCUCCAUAUGCCGUGGGAACAGCCCCAAAAAGAAAAAAGAAAAAAAGAGUAAGAGACACCAAAGGUCCAUCUCCUUGUCUCCUCGCGCACACGGAAGAAAGGCCACGUGAGACACCGUGAGAGGGGGGCGCUCUCCAGCAAGAGAGGUCUUACCCCAAACCAACCCGGCUGGCACCCUCAUCGGAGACCUCCCGUCUCCAGAACUGUGAGAAAGCGCGGGUGGUCGGGUUAGGCUGCUCAGUGCGCGGCAGUCGGUGACGGCGGCCUGCGCCCACACAGCUCGCAAACUGGAAAAUGAGUGUCCCGCGGGUCUCGCUGGCAGCUGUGGAGGUGUAAGGAUGGAGCUCCUUAGCAGCAGGUUAAGAGCUGGUGCCACAUGCAGGACAUCGGGCAAGGUCAGCACGAGUCCUCUGAAGCUAAACUUGGAUGUCUCCUAAGUGGGAGACUAGGACAGGACAUGCAAGAUACUGAGCAAGCUGGCUGUGGCAGAUUCAAGAGUCACACGCUGUCAGCUAGAUGACUGUAAGGCUUGCGUUUUCUGGACUCAUGUCGAAACAUUCCCUUGGCCUCUCCAGACUAACUUCGUUAUGUCAGAGCAGAACCAAGAGACGAUGUUUUCAUCUUUGCUCACCAAGGGGUAACAGAUUAUCUCUAGGGUCAAGGAGGUUAUGAUAGAAACAAUCGAAUACAAGGAAGACUCAAAGCGGAAGGUUUAACUCAGUGGCCCUGCCACUGGAAAUAUUCAACCAGUGUUUACCAAGCACUUACUAUGGAGCGGACCCUAACGUAACCCCUAGAGAUGCAAGAGUGAAGCAAGUCAGCAAAAAUCCUUGCCCUCCUGGAGCUUCCAUUCCAGCUGGGAGAGGGGAGGAAAGAGUAAGCAAUAAACAUAACAUACGAGGAAAAUUCAUAGUGAGUCGGAGGUUGGCACCUGCUAUGGACAAAAAGAAGCAGGAACGAUGGAGGGGGGUUGCUCAGGGGAGACGUCAUGGGGAGGUGACACUUGAGGAGACAGGAGGAGAGUGAGAAUGAAUCACCACCUACCCGGCAGAGGCAGUGCACAGAGGGCGGUCACGCCUGCCAUUUCCAAGGAAACGCCAAGAGGCUCAAGGGACUAGAACGGAGCAACCUAUGGAGAAGCGGCAGGUGGUCAGAUUAGUAACGGUGGGGACGGAGCCCCCAGAGGCUCCUGCAGGCCACCGGAAGGACUAGGGUUUUACUCUGAAUUAAGUGAGAAAAGAUAACUUCAUCAUCUUCCCAUUUGCUACAGCUGGGAAGUACUAGUCCCUUAAAGAGCUGGGAGGUACUAUUCCCUUAAAGAGCAGGCUUCUGGGAACU